AUCUGUUCUUAUCAGUUUAAUAUCUGAUACGUCCCCUACCCGGGGACCAUAUAUUAAAUUGAUUUUUGGAUCAGGGAGCCGGAACGGGGCUUGCUCCUUCCACUCCACGCAUCGACCCGGUAUUGCAUUACCUCCAGGUACGGUGC
rnacentral:snRNA from 1 species